AUAAGAAGCAUAUUUUUCCAUUAAUAUUUAUCUAAAUUAACCCACUGCAAAACAUGUCUACUAUGUUUAGUUUGUAUUUAUUAAGGGGGGUGAGCCCCCCUAAUUUUCAAAUCUUAGAAUAGCUCCUGGUUCCAGGAAUCCUUCAUUCAUGCUUAUUCUUUUUAUUUUUCCUGGUAAUUUUCAGAACGGAGUGGAUGUAAAAAGAGGGAAACUGAAUGGACCGCCUGAUAAGUUCAAUGUGUAUGUUACAGUAGAAGUCCAGAAUUUAAAGAGCAUUACUGGACCGAUAAGAGGCAAUGAGCCAUCAUGGGAACAAGAUUAUAUGUUUGAAAUUAAUAACUUGGAAAAGGGUCUUUUUGUGGAAGUGUGGGACAAAGGGUUUGUCUGGGACACACUCCUGGGCUCUGUGUGGAUUCCUCUUAUGAGUGUCGAACAUGGAACUAAGGAGGGCCCAGGAAAAUGGUGGCUUUUGAACAGUGUUGUCAUAAUGGAAGGAGCUGAAGUCUGUGGGGUUGAAAAUCCAACACAUCAUAAGAUUCUGUUGGAUACCUACUAUGAACUGCCAACAGAGAUUCCGAAGGAUGAAGCUGAUUUUCUAAUACAAAGACUUCUGGCAUUACAUGUAGGUAAAGACACAGAGUGUUCUGGAGAUGAUGCUGAGGACAAAAUGAACCACAAGGAUGCCAAUGAACACCCACCAUUGCAUUCUUUGGCUGAGUGUCCUUUUGAAGACCUAGACGAUGACUACUGUGGCGACCACAGCCCCCUGCACGCCCUGCCGCAGCGGAGUACUCACGCAAAGCUCACAUGGGCUAAACGGCAUCGCCGAAUGGAGGCACAACAGCAGCGCAGGGAUCAGGAGGAAGAGAACCUGGCCCUCAACUGGAGGAAGGACCUAGAAUCUUGCUCUGUGUGUGGCAAUGCUCUCAGCUUGCAGACGUCCUUGGAGACCCAAACUCUCCUGGACAAGAUGGACAGCUACCCAAUGGAGAGUGCAACAUGCCGCUGUUCCCAAUUGGAUCAUCUAACUUCCGAGGCCAGCCUUUCGGCAGCCGUCGCUGGCUACGUUCCAACUGUCUCCGAGGGAAACACUGACAGCACUGCCGCCUCCCCUUCCAGAGGCUCCGCCCCACUGUCUGCUGGCUCUCCUGCCCUUGCCCAGCAGGUUGAGGAGCAGCUGGCUGGGGUGUCCUGCAUGGAUGAGGCCGAGCCUGGGGUCCCUUGUGGCACUGCAACCCGUCAGGAGCUCAGAAUGCAAUAUUUGUGUUGCACAGCUCUAAUAUGAAGCUGAAAGCUGCUAAUGUGAAUACAGUACAGAUCAGUCAGGAAUGCAGGUGGAAUAGUUGAUUACACUGGAGGGUCCCAGUAUAUAUGACAUCAUGCCAUGGAUGCAGAGUGGCGUUGGUCCAUCUCUGCUUCCCAGCAGAGAAAUGAGCCAGGGCUGUCAGCCAUCGGGACCUGAAAACAGAGCUGGUGCUGGGAGAGUGGUGUGUGCAGCACGAGCCACGCUUCCAGCAGGUGGACUGCAGCUCUUCAGAAGAGUGGUCUUCGUUGAGUAACACACAGCUGAAUUCCCUGUUUCCAAAUGCAUCUUUCAAGUAUCGUCCUGGUGCCAUCCUUUCUCUGGUCAUAGCCCUUCCAUCUACAUUCCUCAUUAAACGUACAUUGUCCCUCACAAUUAAUUCUCCCACCUGAAACGGAAACCACUGCAUCUUUGGGUGCCGGUGCCUCACAAUUAUUCCUUCCUAAAUGGUUUUCUGAGGGUCCCAGACAUACCAUCUGCUUUCUUUUAACUCAUUUUGGCUUGAAAUGCCCCUCCCUCCUGGAGUGGGUGGAGCCCUGCUCAUCAAUGGGUCCUGCCCUCUGGGACUGACACUUAUUGCUGCUGUGGCAUUCAUUUUGUCUUUGUUAGUUGUUGUUUGGUAAUUAUUCUCUCAUUUGGUGCCUUUGUCUCCCUCCACACGGAAAUGCUCCCCUGGGUCCCUAUCCCGCCAUCCUUGUCUCUUCCAUGGCCCUGACUGACUGAUGUCCUGCUGAAUGCGGUUUAUAUGCAAUAAAUGCAACUUUUCCCGCCUAUUUCUGGAAAUCAGCAUCCGUCUGGAGACAUUGUAAAUAUUUAGUGUGUAUGCACCACGUUUUAGACUCACUCUCUGUAUUUUUUGGUCACAGCGUAUUGUAGGUAAAGGUAGAGGUUAUAAGUGAGCUGCAGAAACCAUUCUCUUAGUAGCUGUAGGCAAAGUGGGUCUUAUUGUUUUUCCCAACUUUCCUGAGGAGGUUCGAUAAGUGGUAUCCAGCUUCUUAUGACUUGGCUGCAUUCAUUUCAAAGGAACUACAAUAAUUAACUUAUUUGAUUUAUAAACCAUGGGUGUUAGCCUGAUAAUGCAUUGGUCCUUGUAGCCCUAAACCCUGGCACAGGUGUGAGGCUGUGCACAUUUCCUGUCCCUCUGCGGCUGUGUUGUCUUGUUUACCCCAAGGAGCAUUAGCUUUAUCACAUGCUUGAUUCUAGGCAGUCUUUAAGUGGAGAGAGAACCAUGCCAUUUGGCAAAGCUGCUUUGCUCGAUGAGUGAUCUGUGGUUUAUGUGAUUAUGAAGAAGAUCUGAUUUUGUGAUGAGACAUGGGUUUACGAUUUGCUAUAACAAUGUACCUUUUACAGUUACUGCUCUGUGUGCAGCAACGAGACUCUGACCAUGCAUGCACUCUAGAGGAAUUCUUCAGUAUUAAAGAAACCAUUGAUUUCGUUAAACAUGAAUUAAUCUUUCAUAACCAUUUAAUGAAAGAAAUCAAGCUGAAGUGAUUGAACAGAAUGUUGGAUUCAUAUUCUCCAUGUGGGGUGCGUACAGAGUAGAGCUGCAUGAUACUGAAAAGGAUUCACAUCGUGAUAUUUAAAAUUUUUCCUAUAAAUAUUGCAAUGUUUAAAAAACAAAAUAAGCUUGAAAAUUUCCCAAAAUAAACUAUAGCCAAAUAAAACUAACCUAUCUACCAACAGAGUCUGUCAAACAUGAGUGAUCAUAGGAUUUGACCCUUAUGGGGGCUCAGUCAGCAGGAAAUAAUGGAUGAAAUUGCUUAAAUGGAUUUAGAAUAAUUUUGGUAGAAUAGAAUAGAAUAGAAUAGAACACAAAUGUCUUUUGGUGACCAGCUCUUAUUCGCUUUUAUCCUCCUCUCUAAAGCUGGGUGAUAUGGCUAAAAAUGUUAUAACGAUAAAAAAAAAUCCAUAUCAGUCGAUAUCGAUAAUUAUCACGAUAAAUGUCAAACCAUUGUUUCUUUCCAGUUAAAAGGGUGAUUUUUAUUCCAGUUUGUUCCAGUUAUUCGUAGUUAUAAACUUUUCGUUAUCGCCCAGAACGUGACAAACACUGGCUAACCAAUAGUGAUGGCCAAAAUGACGCUUCUGUAACAAUUUGCUCCAUUUUCUGACCCCACUAGAUGGAGCUCUCCGUUUAAAAGGAGCUCAAAGCACGUCUAAAAGGAAAUCAAAAGCGCACCUUGUAUCUAACAGCAUUUCGCUGAGAAAAAAGAUGGACAAGUUAUUGUAUUCAUUGUUGAAGAAACACUCCACCUGGCAUUCUUCCUAUUGGUUCUUAAUUCUCUGUGGAUUUUUACUGUUGGGAUUUCCCAUGGACUGAAUUUUACUUUUACUGUGGACUUUACUUCGGAUUUCGUUGGAUCACCCUUAUUGAAUGGGUUGCCAACAAAAUAAUGUGAGAUUAAUCAUGGAUAUGUGGUACUGUAUUUAGCCUCUUUGAGUAGCCUAGCCUGACUUUGUCAUCACUUUGACUUAAAUCAUUUUGCUUAAUUUACUUUCUCUGUGUCUGAAUAGUUGCUGCUGAAACAAAGGUUAUGGCCCCAUCACUCGGCUGUAUCAUCUUACAUAAUAUGGUAUAUAACCAUAUCAUAUUUUUGUGAGCUUAUUAUGUGUUUUGAGUAGGGCUGAACAGUAUUGGAAGUCUUUAAAGUUUUUGUGAUAUUUAAAUUUUUUGUGAUAUUUAAGAGUUGAUUUGUGCCGACAAAUCACUUGCUUUUGCUCAAGAUCUUCUCUAUGUAUUACGAAAUAUUUCCAUUCAACGGAAGAUGAAUGUCAUGUCUUCAUGACCAGUUCUUGUUUGUUUUUGUCCUUUUCACUCAUUUUUAUUUACUCACAAACAUGCCGCACGGUCUGUGAGUGAUUCAAACAGCA